rnacentral:pre_miRNA from 13 species
ACUUUGUGGUGAUGUAGCAGCACAUAAUGGUUUGUGAGUUGUAUGGAGAUACAGGCCAUGUUGUGCUGCCAUAUGAACACAAGA